rnacentral:RNase_P_RNA from 1 species
GCGGAAGGCCGGAUGACCGCGGGCGGCAACGUCCGAGGAAAGUCCGGACUCCAGAAAGUAGCGGUGCCGGGUAACGCCCGGGCGGGGAAACCCGACGGAAAGCGCCACAGAAAACAAACUACCCGUGCCUGCACGGGAAAAGGUGAAACGGUGGGGUAAGAGCCCACCGCCGGGCUGGCAACAGCGCGGGCAAGGCAAGCCCCACCGGGAGCAAUGCCGAAUAGGGACCGACGCGCCAAGGGUCGCAAGAUCCAAGGCAGGGCUGCUUUCGCCCGAAGUCAGGUCCGGGUUGGCAGCUAGAGGGCCUGUAGCAAUACAGGACCAAGAGGAAUGGUCAUCACCCUUCGGGGGACAGAAUCCGGCUUAUAGGCCUUCCGCGCAU